UACGUAGGGGGCUAGCGUUGUCCGGAUUUAUUGGGCGUAAAGAGCGUGUAGGCGGCCAGGUAGGUCUGCUGUGAAAACUCGAGGCUCAACCUCGAGACGUCGGCGGAAACCAUCUGGCUAGAGUCCGGAAGAGGAGAGUGGAAUUCCUGGUGUAGCGGUGAAAUGCGCAGAUAUCAGGAAGAACACCAAUAGCGAAGGCAGCUCGCUGGGACGGUAUUGACGCUAAGGCGCGAAAGCGUGGGGAGCAAACAGG
rnacentral:rRNA from 1 species